GGAUCUGGGCCCAAGGUGAGGGGUGCUAUCUGUGCUGGAGGGACAUGAUCAAUGGAAUUGUCUCACACAGAAAUCGCACCCGUCACCUUGGCCUGCCGA
rfam:Cavia porcellus supercont2_114 genomic scaffold, whole genome shotgun sequence.